rnacentral:ncRNA from 1 species
CCCGCUAAGUUUAAGCAUAUUAAUAAGCGGAGGAAAAGAAGCUUACCAGGAUUCCCCUAGUAACGGCGAGCGACCGGGAACUUCCCAGCAUGGAAAUCGAGCUGCCCCGCUGCGAAAAUUGUAGUCUGUAGAAGUGUCCUCAGCUUUGGACUAGGCACAAGUCCCUUGGUGUGCCCGGACCUUGCCACACCACGAGGUGCUGUUGGCGAGUCGGGUUGUUUGGGAAUGCAGCCCUAAUUGGGCGGUAAAUUAUGUCCAAGGCUAAAUACCAACGAGGGAGACCGAUAGCAAACAAGUACCGCGAGGGAAAGAUGAAAAGGACUUUCAAAAGAGAGUCAAAGAGUGCUUGAAAUUGUCAGGAGGGAAGCGGAUGGGGGCUGGCAGUACCCCGCUGUCGGAUGCAGAAUGUCCUCGUUGACAGUCCUUCACUCCGCUCACAAGUCAGACCAGCGUGGGUCACCGCGGAGGCAGGAGCCCAAGUGGUCGCUCUUGCCCGAGGGGAUGCCGCCAUGGUGACCGGGGGAUGAAAGCACGCAUUGAUCGGACCGCCCCUUGCGGCAACUGAGCGCUCUUGGCACCAGUCUGCGGGCUCCCCAUCCGGCCCGUCUUGAAACAUGA